GGCUUCAAGUGGACUUUCCGUAGAGGCCAAAUAUUUUAUGAGGCUACGAGCAAUUGAAAAGAACUUCUUAUCGUGAAGCUCAGUUGCAGCAAUCAGCUACCCACACUUUGGUAAGAGAUUCGAUCUCUAUAGCUUAGAUCUACCCAUGAUGGUCUAGAUGUGAUCUAGACUAUAGCAGAUGAUGGGAUCUCCUACCUGC
rnacentral:lncRNA from 1 species